rnacentral:lncRNA from 1 species
GGCCCCAUCAACAAUUGUUUAAGAAGCUUCCUUCUUCCAUCCAUGGAUGGAAAGGUAAAUUUUUCUAAAUUGCCACCGACUAUCCAUGGAGCUUCGACUGGACCUGAACGACUCCUAAUCUCUCUCCGAAUAGAAAUGAAAUAGUCUUGAAGAAAGAUUGAGAGAUGUAUGAGAAGCUUUUCGAAGUCCAGAUUCCUCCGCAUCAGGAGCUGCUCAAGGAGCAGUUCCUUUACAAUGUCGGGAUAAGCCCGACAAGCCA